AACGAACGCUGGCGGCAGGCUUAACACAUGCAAGUCGAGCGCCCCGCAAGGGGAGCGGCAGACGGGUGAGUAACGCGUGGGAACGUACCCUUUGCUACGGAAUAGCUCCGGGAAACUGGAAUUAAUACCGUAUGUGCCCUACGGGGGAAAGAUUUAUCGGCAAAGGAUCGGCCCGCGUUGGAUUAGCUAGUUGGUGGGGUAAUGGCCUACCAAGGCGACGAUCCAUAGCUGGUCUGAGAGGAUGAUCAGCCACACUGGGACUGAGACACGGCCCAGACUCCUACGGGAGGCAGCAGCGGGGAAUAUUGGACAAUGGGCGCAAGCCUGAUCCAGCCAUGCCGCGUGAGUGAUGAAGGCCUUAGGGUUGUAAAGCUCUUUCACCUGGGAAGAUAAUGACGGUACCAGGAGAAGAAGCCCCGGCUAACUUCGUGCCAGCCGCCGCAGUAACAC
rnacentral:rRNA from 1 species